CAGCAGCCGCGGUAAUACCGGCGGCCCGAGUGGCGGUCACUAUUAUUGGGCUUAAAGCGUCCGUAGCCGGGUUGGGAAGUCCUCCGGGAAAUCUGGCCGCUUAACGGUCAGAAUGCCGGAGGAUACUCCCAGCCUAGGGAGCGGGAGAGGCCGAGGGUAUUCCCGGGGUAGGGGUGGAAUCCUAUAAUCCCGGGAGGACCACCGGUGGCGAAGGCGCUCGGCUGGAACGCGUCCGACGGUGAGGGACGAAGGCCAGGGGAGCAAACCGGAUUAGAUACCCGGGUAGUCCUGGCUGUAAACGAUGCGGACUUUGUGUCGGACAAGCUAUGAGCUUGUCCGGUGCCGGAGGGAAACCGUUAAGUCCGCCGCCUGGGGAGUACGGCCGCAAGGCUGAAACUUAAAGGAAUUGGCGGG
rnacentral:rRNA from 1 species